rnacentral:rRNA from 1 species
GAAGGAUCAUUAAAGAAAUUAUGAAUUCUGGCGGGAGAUGUUUGCGAGCCUGCGCUUAAGUGCGCGGCAAGCGGUGUCUCCAAUUCACGCUGGUUAUUCUUACACACUGUGGAGUAUUUUCUACUUUUAUUAUCGAGGCGCUUGCGCUUCAACACCAAAACACAAACAAUCUAUUUUUUAUUUUAUACCUAGUCAAAACAAAUCUGUCUCUGACAGUAACCAAAAUAUUCAAAACUUUCAACAACGGAUCUCUUGGUUCUCGCAUCGAUGAAGAACGCAGCGAAAUGCGAUACGUAAUGUGAAUUGCAGAAUUCCGUGAAUCAUCGAAUCUUUGAACGCACAUUGCGCCCCUUGGUAUUCCAGGGGGCAUGCCUGUUUGAGCGUCAUUUCCUUCUCAAAUACUUGUAUUUGGUUGUGAGUGACACUCUGUUUUCUGAGUUAACUUGAAAUUGUUGGCCGCGGGCCAUUGCAGCUAGUGUUAUUCUGCGUCUUUCGCAGGGGCACGGCAUGUCGUAUUAGGUUUUACCAACUCCGGCACGUUGUCCUCUGAUCCAAACGGAAGUAGUAGAGCAUUGCUUCAAGCCCUGGCAAACAGUACUCUUU